GCAUAGUGGCCAAGCUUGUUUCUCCUGGGGGUGCUCUUCCAAGGAUAUUCAGGCCGCCUCCGGCGUCGCAGUGUCUUGGGCCGCUGGAAGAAGAGUCUCUCCAUUGCCAACACUCUGUGACUUAGCAGACGUCUCUGGACUUCCGUCUGGGGAUUCUUACCCACCUUCAAGUUCACCAGCCCUCAGCUGGAGCACUGGAAGUGGGGGCUCUGCCGCUUCUCUCCCUCUCCGCUACUGCUGCACCUGGUGGACCAUUUCCAAGCAGCACAGCGCUUCCUGUCUUUCCUGUCUCGGCCACGCUCUGUCUCGUUUAGACCCCGUAUGAAUGAUUUGAAUGUCCCACCGGCCAGUGACACGCAUGUAGGCGGUGCCACAUUGACUCACUGGACGCAUGCAGUGUGCCACUUCCGUGA
rnacentral:lncRNA from 1 species